UACGGAGGGUGCAAGCGUUAUCCGGAUUCACUGGGUUUAAAGGGUGCGUAGGUGGCUUUGUAAGUCAGUGGUGAAAGCCCGGAGCUCAACUCCGGAACUGCCAUUGAUACUGCUUAGCUUGAAUUAGGUCGAGGUGGAUGGAAUAAUACAUGUAGCGGUGAAAUGCUUAGAUAUGUAUUAGAACACCAAUUGCGAAGGCAGUUCACCGGGCCUAUAUUGACACUGAGGCACGAAAGCGUGGGGAUCAAACAGG
rnacentral:rRNA from 1 species